ACAAAUUUUUUUACACCGUAUUUAUAAAAUAUUAUUAUAAACAUAAAAAUCUAGUAAUAUUUGUAUAUGAAUUUUUUAAUAAUUAUAAAUUGUAUAUUUAUUAGAUGAAUUUUUAAUUUUAUUAUAUUGACUAUUAAAAAGUAGGAUUGGUUCAUGCGAUAAAAUAACAUUUAAUAUAGGCAAAAAUAAAAAAGAAAAGGCGUAGGAUGUGAGAGAGAGAGAAAAAAAAGG
rnacentral:lncRNA from 1 species